rnacentral:rRNA from 1 species
UACGUAGGGUGCGAGCGUUGUCCGGAAUUAUUGGGUGUAAAGAGCUUGUAGGCGGUUUGUCGCGUCUGCUGUGAAAAUCCGGGGCUCAACCCCGGACUUGCAGUGGGUACGGGCAGGCUGGAGUGUGGUAGGGGAGACUGGAAUUCCUGGUGUAGCGGUGGAAUGCGCAGAUAUCAGGAGGAACACCGAUGGCGAAGGCAGGUCUCUGGGCCACUACUGACGCUGAGAAGCGAAAGCAUGGGGAGCGAACAGG